ensembl:lncRNA
GCCGCCGCCCAGCUCAUUUUCCCUCCUUUGUAACCGAGAGAAGCGCGGCCGGCGGCCGGCGGUGGGGGCGGCGCGGGCGGAGGCGGGGCGGGGGCGGGGGCGGGCCGGGGACGGGGUGCGGGCGCCCGGGCUGGGGGGCGGUCGCCGAGCGCGCGGGGCGCGGGCGGGGAGAAGUUCUCAGCCCCGAGUUUCGGGCGCUCGGGAGAGAAAGCCGCGGCGCGGAUCCGCCAGCCGCCCCGCCCUCAACCCCCUCCCGCCGCCGCCUCGGCCCCGCCUUCCCCCUGGCGCAGGCCCCCGGGGCGCGGGACCCCGGCGCGACCUCGGCCCCCGGCCCGGACCCCACGUUCCCUGCCGCCCUCCCCGGCCCGCUCGCGGCCCCCCCCCCACGGCGGCCGGCCCUGCCCGCGCGGUCCAAGACCCCGGCCGGCGGAGGAACGCGAUCGGGCGAGGCUGGGAGCCGGCUGCCGCCGGGAACCCCGUCUCGCGCUGUGGGGAGGCCCCGAAAGGAAAGGGGUUUUGACAAGGAAACUGUGAAGCGAAAGAACUAAACAGGAAGAUGAAUUCAGAAUGUAUUGCUGCCACUGAGAAGUUACGUGUUGUCCUCAGAAGCAAAGAUGACUCUCCAGCAUCUGUAUGGCAUAUGUAUUUUCAGAGGGAGAAUGGAUCUGUGCCAGUUGUCUCUGGCCUGAAUUAAAGAAUCGAGAUGCUGCUGGGGCUUCCCAGGUGGCGCUAGUGGUAAAGAACCUGCCUGCCAAUGCAAGAAGGAGAUGCAGGUUCAAUCCCUGGGCCAGGAAGAUCCCUUGCAGGAGGGCACGGCAACCCACUCCAAUAUUCUUGCCUGGAGAAUCGCAUGGACAGAGGAG